AUAAGUAGGCAGGUUUUAAGGAAAGAAGCCUUGAUUAUUCUAUUGGCAAGAUUAUUUUAAUGGGGGGGGUUAAGGAGGUGAUAAUGUGCAGAUUGCAGAAUGGAAAAAAAAGAUGUUUGCAAAAUGACUGAAGACAAAUGGUUCAGUAGCCUACAGAUGUACUACAAAAACCCAUGGUUAAACUAUGAUUUUUUGAAGCAAAAACCACCCAUGCUUUGAGUUUUCACAAUUCCUCAAUAAAAAAAUUAUAUAAUCUCCAUAAAAUAGCCUAUACAUAGCCUAUAGUAAGUAUUUGGAGAAGAAACAUUUAUGUUCUCCACGUAAACCAUUGAAAUCGGUUAAAUAAAACGUGGUUCUGUUUUUAAAAAUCUCCGGGAAACUUGCGUGUUUUUAGAGCAGUGUGAGCAAACCACGCGGCAGUCGAUGCGACGUCUGUGGCUGCUGAUACAAUCUGGUUUGCAAUGCAUCAUGGAAAUUGUAGUUGAUUUACAUGUACAGUGUUAAAUCCGCUUUGCAAAAAAGACUACUUUUCCCAGAAUGCACCCAGUGACACCAUCCCGCCUACCAGAGGAUCCGGAAGUUGCGUAGCAGCUAUUCAGCAACUCAACGCAGUCGCGGUAAAAUUCAAAUAACUAAGUUAGUUGUUCUAACUUCGACAAUCACGCUGUGUUGGUUUUAUCUUUUGAAGUUUUAAUACAUGAUCAAGUGAAGAACAUCGGAAGCUGCUUCUUGCUGAACAACAGCUGAUCUUUCUGAUGCCACCAAAGCGGAAAAUAAAAUGAAACAGGCGACUAAUGGAUGAAAAUGACCCCGAUGAGGAGGCUACUGCAGGCAUGGCAAGUAGAGAAGUUCACAAGACCUCACAGAACAUCGCAGGCAACAGGAUUUAACUUUACAGUCUCACAGACAGGCAAUACAGUCACCAUGGCAUCAUGAAACACCCAGACCACAGAGAAAAAGCCUCUCAAGUGAUGACCGAUUAAUAAGAUUACGGUGGCUGAGAGGUCUCAACAUUCUGCAACAGAAGAAAAUGGAUGAAAACAGAAAAAAAACCCUGUAAAAUAAGAACAUCUUUAUCACAUGUGCUAAAACACAACCAAAUACAUAAAUGCUCUCCAAAUGUCCGACCAACAAAUAUCUACUCGACAAUGGUGUUCAUUGUUUUAUUUUUAUUAUUAUUUAUUGUUUGCAUUGUAUUUGCAGCAUGUGUGUUGUGAAACUGAUGUCUUGACUUGCUGGUGUUUUUCUUGUUUGCAUGUUUUCUUCUGUUGCAGGACUUUGAGAUCUCUCGGCCAACAUAUUUUUGUUAAUUUUUGUAUCUCAUUAUUUAAGAAUGCCACAUACACAUUUUUGUAACAUUUUAAUUUAUUGCUGUCUUUUUAUUAUUCUUGUAAUGUGAAUUAUAGUUAUAUUUUGUUUUGUCUUACUCUAGUAUUGGCUUGUAUUUUGUUGUUUAUCCUUUUAUCUGGCUGAGAUUUUCUUCCCUUCUCAAUAAAAUAUUGUUCUUUGCA